rnacentral:rRNA from 1 species
UACGUAGGUGGCAAGCGUUGUCCGGAAUUAUUGGGCGUAAAGAGCUCGUAGGCGGUCUGUCGCGUCGGCUGUGAAAACCCGAGGCUCAACCUCGGGCCUGCAGUCGAUACGGGCAAACUAGAGUACUGCAGGGGAGACUGGAAUUCCUGGUGUAGCGGUGAAAUGCGCAGAUAUCAGGAGGAACACCGGUGGCGAAGGCGGCUCACUGGUCCGGUACUGACGCUGAUGUGCGAAAGCGUGGGGAGCAAACAGG